ACACUUGUGUUGAUCUUUGCAAGGAACUACCUUUAUUAUACUACCCUUACAAUUUGAUUUUGUAUUCUCUCUAAGUGUUCGAUCCUUCUGCAUAGUGCUCAACUGUGUUUGGAUGAGAUAGCUGGUACAUGUUUGCCACCUAGUGGGCAUUGCCAGCAAUAACAUGUAUGUCCAGUGUCCAGUCUAACCAUAGCAAAGCAGUUUAGUGUUUUCACUCUCUUUCAUUCAGUCAUCCUCUGUUGCACGCCUAAUAAACAUUACCCAGGACAACAACUCUGGCAGAAAAGGCUGGAUCCUCAAAGGGUGUUCACACUAAAAAAAGAGCAUCACCUUUUCCUGUGCAAAAGUAGACAUGAGACAUCAGCGGAGUCAGCCUGGCAGAAGCAGUCAUAAGGAAUCAAGCAAAGCACAAGACUGUUUGGUUCUAUGACAGUCUGUCAAGGAUAUUUACUGAGUACUUGCAGGGUAUCGUGCAGCUGUGUUGAUGGGACUCCCACACAGCAGCCUGGCUAGCAGCCCCUCUGUGACUCAAAGCAACGAGAGACAUCCGGACCCACCAAUGUUUCAAGGGUCACAGGAGGCUGCUCACACAAACAGUCAGAAAUACAGAAGAGCAUGCAUUCAGAGGCGGCGGUAGUUAAUUCAUAGAGGAAAUGAAAAGAUACAGCAUCACGAUCUGGACUUUUGGCAGUUUCAUCUCAUCCUCCCAAAAAACGUAACUGAAACUUUCCGGGAUGAGUGCUAAUAACAAGCAGAGGCAGUGUGACCAACAGGAAAUCAGGGAAACUGGAAAUAGAUAUCCUGCAAGAUAUCAAUUUAAAAGUAUCUUCUUUCUUCAUGCAUGCAUAAUGAAUGCUGAUUUUCAUGUGCAUUACUUCUCUUUUUGCAUGGGUUUCAUGUGUAAUAAAAAUGUACUUAAACGUAUAGAAAUGUUAUUAUUGUGUAGGCCUACACACUUGCUGUGGUCCAAAAUACUCAGAACAGCGU